rnacentral:sRNA from 1 species
UUGAGAGCACUGGAGGUUUAAGUUCUCUAUUUCUUCACAGAAAAUGCACGGCAUUGGGCAGUGACAAGGCGAGCCUCCCUACACUGCCCUGCCAAUGUGUCUCAACCCUGACCUGAAGAGACCAUCUCUGAAGGUGAGAGGGUAGCUCAUUCUCAUUGUUUUUGCUUGCUGAGCAUCU